rnacentral:rRNA from 9 species
GACCUCGGAUCAGGUAGGGAUACCCGCUGAACUUAAGCAUA